rnacentral:rRNA from 1 species
GCUUACGGCCACACCGCCUGGUUAAAGCCCGAUCUCGUUUGAUCUCGGAAGCUAAGAUAGUUGUGCCUGUUUAGUACUUGGAUGGGAGACCGCCUGGGAAUACCAGGUGCUGUAAGCU